UACGUAGGUGGCAAGCGUUGUCCGGAUUUACUGGGCGUAAAGAGCGCGCAGGCGGUCGUUCAAGUCGCGUGUGAAAGCCCCCGGCUCAACUGGGGAGGGUCACGCGAUACUGAUCGACUCGAAGGCAGGAGAGGAAGUGGAAUUCCCGGUGUAGUGGUGAAAUGCGUAGAUAUCGGGAGGAACACCAGUGGCGAAGGCGACUUCCUGGCCUGUUCUUGACGCUGAGGCGCGAAAGCUAGGGGAGCAAACGGG
rnacentral:rRNA from 1 species